rnacentral:tRNA from 1 species
GGUUCCGUGGUGAGUUCGUUAUCACGUCAGUCUAACACACUGAAGGUCUCCAGUUCAAGUCUCGGCCGCGCCA